UCUCUCAAUCCACCCCUCGCAAUGCCACCUCUCUCUCCCUCUUAGGGUGCCCUCAAGCGAGGUCUCCAGAUCCCUUCGCCGCCAGCCUCCGAUCUCCUCCCCGGCUCCCAGCGCCGCCCGCCCCCAUCUCCUCCCCCGAUCCCGGCGCCACCCGCCCCCACCCUUUCCCUCACUCCCGGCGCCGCCCCGCGAUCCAUUGCAUCACAGUGGGACGAGUCAUGGCAAUGGUGACGGCGGCCGACAUGGUGUCCCGGCCGCCGCAUGUCUCCCUCCUCCCGCGAUCCCGGCCGUUGCAUGUCUCCCUCCUUCCCCGAUCUUGGUCGCCGCAUGUCUCCCUCCACCUGCGGCCGCACCUCUGCCCCUCGCCUCCCGCAUCAGCGCCAAAAGCCUUUUACGUCACGGAUCCGAGAGACUGGAGGCCGAUCUUGCCGGUGAGGAGACGGUGGCGGCGCCGACGAGCCGCCCCCCUUGGCGCCGUUGCCGCUGGGCACCGAGACAAAGGAGUGGUGGAUGCCAAUGCCUCGAGGCCUGCCUCAAGUACAGAUCAUCAGCGGCAAAUAUUCAAUCAACAUACAACCACUGAGGGGAUCCAUCGGUGGUAUUCCUAUUGCUCUCGCAGUCUCUACAUUUCAUCCUUUUUUUUGGAUUUUGCGAUAUUUUCAAAUAGGAGAUGGGCAACAAUGCUUUUUCUCCAUGCUAGCAAUAUGAAUGAUGAAGGAGAAGAGCAACGAACACAAAUCUUCCCCACGGCUAUUGAUUUUAUGCACAUCGGCUGCAUCAUGUGAUAUGGUAAACCAACAGAGGUAUAUGGAUAAUCCAAACUGCUUAUUUUUCGUCCGACACCGCCCCACCUUCAGUGACCUGAUUGCUAGCAAAAUGUCACAACAGGUUUGUUUCGAAGUAUCAGUUCAAAAUAUGACGAUUGAAUAAAAAAACACUAUCUUAUUUUUGUCUCACGGAUCAUACUUUAAAGUUAAUAAUUUUUAUAAUGCUCUGUAAUAGAGUCGUGUUGGUUGUGUAAUUCUUGAGUGAGUUACAUGUUCUCUCCAUCACCCCCUUUAUUUUUUGCAAAUCAAUUGCCUUCUUCAUGUGUUUCAGCUGCUAGGACUGAAGGCCGAAGUAAUAUCAUAUGACACAGUAGCCAUGGACACCACAUCAGCUUGGGAACAUGGCCACAACAGAUUGGUAUCUUCUCUUCUGAAAUUGGUUGCAUACUUGCCAAAGGUCGCAUGACUCAGCAGCCAUGGACGCCACAUCUGCUUGGGAAUGUGGCCGCAACAGAUUGGUAUUUGUUGGAUGGCAACUCUAAGCUGCAUGCAUGUUCAUUGGGAGAAUCAUGAUGAAUCUUUGAUGAACACUGUCAAAGAUGAAAAGGCGAAUUCUUCGAUUCCCUGGGUUGUCAGGGAUUUUGUACUUCCAGCAGGUUUUCUAGGUGAAUGUUGGCAUCCCCAUGUGGUUUGGUUAUGCAUCUAUGCAUUGCUUUUGCUCUGUCAUGGAGUACUAACUGUGGAGGUUCAGGUUUACAAUCUUAGAAAUGCAGUGAUUGAUGUGUUUUCUAAUCGUAAUGCAGCAAACAAAUUGUUUUGCAAGUUAUGUACUUUAAUUAUCUGUAUCUUACCAUUCUUACCAAGUACUGUCAAAUGUACAGCUUGAUUUUGUAUAUGUAUUUCCCUCAGUUUCUUGUAGGUUCCUGCAUAAGAGGUCAUUAUUGCAGAGUUGGAGACUGACACUAUGUUUAUCAGUACAUGCUAUUGGAAUUCCCAACAAACUUGACAGGAUGGAUCAGUCACACGUUGGUUACAUCAAGUCUUCUAAAGUCCUAGAGGGAUAAAGACACAUAUAAUUACGAUGGAGGUGACAGGCCUGAAAAUAUCUAUUUUUUUAAUCUUGAAGGCAGUACGAGAGGCCCUAAUGACAUAUAUACAGUACUAACAAGAAUAUGGGGGCUUUCAUAACUUGAGGUAUUUACCUAGAUCCUUGAGAUGCUAUUCGUAUUGGCCUGAAUGCAGUUGAAUUCUGAAUCAUAAACAAGCUGGGAGAUUUGUCUUCCACAUAGUAGUUUUUAGUGCAUGCUCGGAGAACAAGAUAAGAGGAGAGGCUUGAAUCUUGAGAUGACAAGGGUAGUCACCUUCUGCGACUAAAGGAAGGAGGUCAAUGAAGCAAAAGGCACGAAAAGGAAGGAGCAGCGCCACAGGGACGAUGUUGUCGGCAGCGCUUUGGAAGGAUUCGCUCCAGAGAAGUUACGGUAGUCGGCCAUCGCCCAGGGGAAGCGGGGAGGAUGUCGUUCGAAACGCCUGGGUCUAGAGGAGUGUGUUCAGGUGGUGCCCGAGGAUGGCGACGAGCAAUUGGGUUGGGCAUUUGUCAACGUGAUGGUGUCGUUGCUCAAGGUACCAACACCCUUGUUUUGACCCAAUGUUUCUCGGCUAGCUGUGCAUGGCUGGAACUGUUUGGUGCAUAUAGGGGACGGCUCAUGCCAUUCACUUCCAAAGCAAUAAGCUGCAGGAGCUGAAUUUCAUUGAUGAAGAAGGAAAGUAGGUCUAUGUUGUUACAAGUAGAUGGCACCGGCAGCCAUCCUGUACAAGCCAGUUAAGAGCUACUCAAGGGCGGUCAAAGAACUUCGACAUCGGCUUAAGCCCAGCAUACAGCCAACAUCUGGCCUCGUCUAGUAUCCUGUGAUGAACUUGUGUUAUAGAGCUUGCUAUGGCAUUGAAAAUCCUUGCGUUGUGUUCCUUCUAGAGGCACCAGGCGACCAGCAGGCACAUGACCCUCCAGGUGGGUCUGUUGGCCUUCGGCAAUGAGGAGGUCUGCCUUCGGAAUCGCUGCCGCAGGCGCCCCCGGUCGUGCAAUUGAAUGUCAUCGUCUGGAGGCCCCAGCGUAGCCGCCGUUCUUGUCCAGACCAUGGUGGAGAAAGGGCAGUUGGCGAUGAGAUGCAUUGCCGUCUCUGGAGCUUGCUGACAAAAUGGGCAGAGGGGGUCAUGUGGGAUUUGCCGCUUCGCCAGGUUGUCCGCCGUGAGGCACUUUCCCCUGAGCAGUAGCCAAGAAAACGCCUUUGCUCGCGGCGCCGCCUUGGCCUUCCAGAUGAUUUCGUUAUCUGUGGACUGGAUGGAUCCCUGGAACAACAUGUGGUAAGCCGACGUCACCGUGUACUCCCCAGAAGCAGUCCAUUUCCAUCUUAUCGAGUCUGGUAUGCCCUCUCGGAAGACGAUCGUCUUUGUUGCAUCCCAGAGCUAACAGAGUUCUCGUAGGGCAGCCGGCGGGGGGUUGGCCUUGACGUAUUGCAUCCAUCUGUCGUCCGUGAUCGCCUGGCGUAGCGAUAGGCGGCGCCCAUUGCAGUGCCGGAAGAGGUUAGGCCAGCGGUCAGCUGGACGACAUCCGUCCGCCUAGUGGGAGCGCCAGAAGUUAGCCCUGGAGCCGUCGCCAACAUCGAUCGCCGUGGAGGCUCUGAAAACACACUCGGCCAUGGGGUCAGUGGGUAGGGUGAGCUCACGCCAUGGCCUACCAUCGUCAGUCCAGGUCCUCCAGUGCCAGCGCGCUCGAAGGGCCGCUCCAUGCAGCUGCAGCUCGCUGAUCCCCAAGCCACCGAAAGCCCUCAGUUUGCAGACGUCUCGCCAGCGCACAAGGCACCUGCCAGCCGGAGAAGUCUCGUCUGCCGCCCACAUGAAUCCUGGACGCAGCCUAUCCACCAUCUUGAGAAACCACUUUGGCGGAGCAAGGGCCAUGACUCUAUAGAUGGCCAUGGCUGACAAAGCAGUCCGCACUAACUCAAUUCUGACAGGCAGGGCGAUCAAUUUUGCUUUCCAUCCUCGCAGUUGCUUUGCCAGGGAGUCAAGUACGGGUUGCAAGUCAUCUUUCCUGAGCCGGCCGUCCGAUAAUGACAGUCCCAGGUAGGUGACUGGGAAUGCCUUAGUCACACAUUAUGUAUCUUGCAUGGAGCAUCAAUGUGCACGUCCUCACAUCUGAUGGGCGUGACAGCGCUCUUGGCCCAGUUCGUUCGCAAGCCUGUCGCCGAAUGGAAGGUGCCGAGUAGGCUAAUCGCAGCAUGGAGUUCUUUCCUUGAGGGAUUGAUGAAAGCUAUCAUGUCGUCAGCGUACAUGGACACUCGGAAAGGCAUGACCUGCUUCCCAAUAUCUGCCAGGACCUUGCUUCUGCAGGCCGCAUCGAAAAGGGCAGCUAGGGCAUCCAUGGCAAGGACUGUUAAAGUAUUCCUUUUGUCUGUAUUUUAUGUAAUAGGAAACUAGCACAAUAUCCCACCGAAUAUCGUUUUAUGAUUUGGUUGAGGAUUUUCUUUGAUUCACCUUGAUUAGCCAGGCAUGUAAUCCUAUAUAUUGUGAAUACAAGAACCGCCCCAAGUGUGGUGUGAAUCACA